rnacentral:tRNA from 1 species
GCGUCGGUGGUUCAGUGGUAGAAUACUCGCCUGCCAUGCGGGUGACCCGGGCUCGAUUCCCGGCCGAAGCG